GGGUUGUGAGGUUAAGCGACUAAGCGUACACGGUGGAUGCCCUGGCAGUCAGAGGCGAUGAAGGACGUGCUAAUCUGCGAUAAGCGUCGGUAAGGUGAUAUGAACCGUUAUAACCGGCGAUUUCCGAAUGGGGAAACCCAGUGUGAUUCGUCACACUAUCGUUAACUGAAUACAUAGGUUAACGAAGCGAACCGGGGGAACUGAAACAUCUAAGUACCCCGAGGAAAAGAAAUCAACCGAGAUUCCCCCAGUAGCGGCGAGCGAACGGGGAGGAGCCCAGAGCCUGAAUCAG
rnacentral:rRNA from 1 species